GUCAAUUAGAUCUAUCUCACUGUUCUCACAAUUGCUUGUGUGGAUUUUUGUAUAAAAUUAUGCCAAGAGCACAGCUAAUAGUGUUAGUGCAUUUGCAAAGUUCAGUGCACUUCAAAUUUGCCUUAAAACAUGAGCAUCUUUUUGUUUGAGAACCCUUUUUGCAUUUGCAGCUAUCCGGAGCAGAUGCUGUCCGGAUCAGAUAUUUCCCCAUGAAAGAAAAAAAUAUAUAUAUUGUAAACAUUUAGAUAAAAGGAGAAAUUCAGAGGGAAAAUUGUAACCAAUAGAAAGAAUGUUACCUGUUCUGUAGGAAUGAGCUAAGAAAUGCAAUUAUAAGUGCAUCCAUC